AUUGAACGCUGGCGGCAGGCCUAACACAUGCAAGUCGAGCGGCAGCGGGAAAGUAGCUUGCUACUUUUGCCGGCGAGCGGCGGACGGGUGAGUAAUGCCUGGGGAUCUGCCCAGUCGAGGGGGAUAACUACUGGAAACGGUAGCUAAUACCGCAUACGCCCUACGGGGGAAAGCAGGGGACCUUCGGGCCUUGCGCGAUUGGAUGAACCCAGGUGGGAUUAGCUAGUUGGUGAGGUAAUGGCUCACCAAGGCGACGCUCCCUAGCUGGUCUGAGAGGAUGAUCAGCCACACUGGAACUGAGACACGGUCCAGACUCCUACGGGAGGCAGCAGUGGGGAAUAUUGCACAAUGGGGGAAACCCUGAUGCAGCCAUGCCGCGUGUGUGAAGAAGGCCUUCGGGUUGUAAAGCACUUUCAGCGAGGAGGAAAGGUUGGUAGCUAAUAACUGCCAGCUGUGACGUUACCCGCAGAAGAAGCACCGGCUAACUCCGUGCCAGCCGCCGCAGUAACAC
rnacentral:rRNA from 1 species